GAUGAACGCUGGCGGCGUGCCUAAUACAUGCAAGUCGAGCGAACGGACGAGAAGCUUGCUUCUCUGAUGUUAGCGGCGGACGGGUGAGUAACACGUGGAUAACCUACCUAUAAGACUGGGAUAACUUCGGGAAACCGGAGCUAAUACCGGAUAAUAUUUUGAACCGCAUGGUUCAAAAGUGAAAGACGGUCUUGCUGUCACUUAUAGAUGGAUCCGCGCUGCAUUAGCUAGUUGGUAAGGUAACGGCUUACCAAGGCAACGAUGCAUAGCCGACCUGAGAGGGGGAUCGCCCACACUGGAACUGAGACACGGUCCAGACUCCUACGGGAGGCAGCAGUAGGGAAUCUUCCGCAAUGGGCGAUAGCCUGACGGAGCAACGCCGCGUGAGUGAUGAAGGUCUUCGGAUCGUAAAACUCUGUUAUUAGGGAAGAACAUAUGUGUAAGUAACUGUGCACAUCUUGACGGUACCUAAUCAGAAAGCCACGGCUAACUACGUG
rnacentral:rRNA from 1 species